rnacentral:tRNA from 1 species
GGGCUGGGGCUCAGCGGUAGAGCACUUACCUGGCAUGUGUGAGGCACUGGGUUCGAUUCUCAGCACCACG